GUGAGGUAAUGGCCCACCAAGGCAUCGACGGGUAGCUGGUCUGAGAGGACGAUCAACCACACUGGGACUGAGACACGGCCCAGACUCCUACGGGAGGCAGCAGUGGGGAAUCUUGCGCAAUGGGCGAAAGCCUGACGCAGCAACGCCGCGUGGGGGAAGAAGGCUCUCGGGUCGUAAACCCCUUUCAGCAGGGACGAAAAUGACGGUACCUGCAGAAGAAGGACCGGCCAACUACGUGCCAGCAGCCGCGGUAAUACGUAGGGGGCAAGCGUUGUCCGGAUUUAUUGGGCGUAAAGAGCUCGUAGGCGGUUCGGUAAGUCGGGUGUGAAAACCCAAGGCUCAACCUUGGGACGCCACCCGAUACUGCUGUGACUAGAGUCCGGUAGAGGAGUGUGGAAUUCCUGGUGUAGCGGUGAAAUGCGCAGAUAUCAGGAGGAACACCUGCGGCGAAGGCGGCACUCUGGGCCGGUACUGACGCUGAGGAGCGAAAGCAUGGGGAGCAAACAGGAUUAGAUACCCUGGUAGUCCAUGCCGUAAACGUUGGGCACUAGGUAUGGGGUCUUAUCAACGGAUUCCGUGCCGUAGCUAACGCAUUAAGUG
rnacentral:rRNA from 1 species